AUGGCGAGGAGCAAACAAUGCGCCGGUCCCACGGGCUUUCCCGAGGGGAGGGAGAGCGGGAGCGGGCUCCCCGCGGACCGCCCGCCCGCCGGCCCCGUGCCUUUCUCCUGAACCUUUGGCUGCUGCUCCGCGGCGGCCGUUAGCGACCCCCGCUCCCUCGCGCCGUCGGGGGUGGCGAGCGAAGAGCCGUGGCGAUAAGCGCUUCGCUGCCUAAAAAGUGGCCGGGCGGGGCCGGGCGCCGCAACCAAUGCCUACCUGCUUGCAGAGGGACUAGGCACUGAGGGCAGAGCAACAGCCAGGCAGUUCUCAUGACUUUCAUUAUUGUUGGGAUAUAGCUGUGCUUGCCAUUCAGAUUUCCAUGAAAAAUAAAAAGUGAAGCACUGAAUGGGCAAGGCCAGCCCUUUCAUCAGAUCAAUGGCAGAAACAUGUCCACACAUACAGAGGAAGUCAAUGCAGCUCUGUGACCUUUUCAUGAACUUUCUAAGAGAUGCAAAGAUCAUUCAAGAAGGCAAAGGUCAGCAUUCAUGCUGGUCACAAACAAAAAUCCGAUUUAGCCAUGCAUUGAAAGAUAGUUUCUAGUCCCCCUGUUUAUUCAAAAAUACACUGAUAAAACACUUUAUGCAUGACUGCAAUAUGAAAAAUUUAGCAGUUUAAUAUUUACAGCAUUAGCAUAGCCCAACUCUGCUAUACUCAUUUGCUUAUUUAUCAGAAAUUAUGCAAAUUAUGCAUGAUAUGGGUCAUAUGUAAUGUAUCUACCAAAGCAAAAAAAUAGUUUUAAUAGAGGAAAGGAAGAGACCAAAUUGGAGGAAGGUCUUGAAAUGCAAAAUAAACACAGAUAUCCUGCUUAUCCAAUUUAUACAAAAAUAUUACCAGAUAUGUUGCCCAAUAUGCUGCAAUACCUUUGAAGAAAAGCAUGAGUUAAGGGUAAGGUAACAGUAAACAGAAAAUUCGGUCUCAGAUCUAAAUUAUUUUUCUGUUACAAAUUUCUGCAGUAUUUGGUAAUAAUAGAUUAAGAAUCUUAAAUAUAACAGAGCUAAAAUAAAAUACAUAACAGUAUAAUUGUGACAAAGGCAUCUUCCAGGCCCGGUAUUAGUAUGGCCCCGCUUUUGUCUCUGGGCAAACCACCUGCCUUGCUCACCUGCCAUGCCUUGUUGAUAAAUGGUUAUGAGGUCAAAUAGGUAGAAACCUGCCCUUCGUGCACCCAAAAGACUGUGGGUGAUCAGUACGUGCUCCUACAAUCUGUA